rnacentral:rRNA from 1 species
UACGGAGGGUGCAAGCGUUAUCCGGAUUCACUGGGUUAAAGGGUGCGUAAGGUGGGCUAGUAAGUCAGUGGUGAAAUCUCCGGGCUUAACCCGGAAACUGCCAUUGAUACUAUUAGUCUUGAAUACCAUGGAGGUGAGCGGAAUAUGGUCAUGUAGCGGUGAAAUGCUUAGAUAUGACAUAGAACACCAAUUGCGAAGGCAGCUCUACGCGGUUAUGCGACUUGAGGCACGAAAGCGUGGGGAUCAAACAGGG